AAAGCCUAACCGUUUUGGAAAUGUUAACGCGUUUAAUAACCACCACACACGUAAUAAAAGGCGUCGAGUUCUGGUACGGAAUCAUCUCUUCAUUCAGAAGGCAGCAAAAUGAAUAAGUCAGCGCUUCUCCUCUUGCUUGUCGUCGGACCCCUCGUCCUCAUCGGUACAACAAAUGCUACUAUCGUUUUUCCGUCAAGAAGGUAUGGUAGUCUCUGGUCUAGUUUUAGACGCAGAAUCAUCAGAAUCCAUCCCCAGCCCGUGUGGUUUUAUACGCCAUUAAAAACAGCCUCGGAUGGUAUUGAUUUAUCUGCUUUCCUUGAAUAAAUGCACGAACAAAGAUGUGGAAAUUUGGUUGACAAUAUAAAUAAACCAUCUUGCAUUACAAUAA